CCAGCAGCCGCGGUAAUUCCAGCUCAGCGAGUGUAUUCCUUCUUGCUGUGGUUAAAAAGCUCGUAGUUGGAUCUGAGUGCUUAGCGUCUGGUGCAGUUCGCUGUUACUGGGCGCGGCACAUGAUCGUCAAUCGGUUGCCGUUGUUGCCUUAACUGGUGAUGGCGGUUUACUGUUGACAAGUUUACUUUGAACAAAUCAGAGUGCUCAAUACGGGCGUUUCGCUUGUAUGGUUGUGCAUGGAAUAAUAGAAUAGGACCUUGGUUCUAUUUUGUUGGUUUUCGGAAUUGAGGUAAUGAUUAAGAGGGACAGACGGGGGCAUUCGUACUCCAGCGUGAGAGGUGAAAUUCUUGGAUCGUUGGAAGACGAACUACU
rnacentral:rRNA from 1 species